AUCGGGACUGAGACACUGCCCGGACCUCCACGGAGGGCUGCAGUAACGGAUAUUGGGCAAUGGGCGAAAGCCUGACCCAGCAAUGCCGCGUGCAGGAUGAAGCCCCUAGGGGUGUAAACUGCUGUCAGGGGUCAGAAAGCUGGUUUCGGCCAGUUGAUCAACCCCAGAGGAAGUCACGGCUAACUUCGUGCCAGCAGCCGCGGUAAUACGAAGGUGGCAAGCGUUAUUCGGAAUCAUUGGGCUUAAAGGGCACGCAGGCGGAACAGUGUGUGUUGUGUGAAAUCCCCCGGCUUAACCGGGGAAUUGCACAGCAAACUGCUGUUCUUGAGGCAGGUAGGGGUGCAUGGAACUCUUGGUGGAGCGGUGGAAUGCGUAGAUAUCAAGAGGAACGCCAGAGGUGAAGACGGUGCACUGGGCCUGUCCUGACGCUGAGGUGCGAAAGCGUGGGGAGCGAACGGGAUUAGAUACCCCGGUAGUCCACGCCGUAAACGAUGUCUACUAGGUCGUGGGUGUUCUGACACAUUCACGGCCGGAGCAAAAGUGUUUAGUAGACCGCCUGGGGAGUACGGCCGCAAGGUUAAAACUCAAAUGAAUUGACGGGGGCUCACACAAGCGGUGGAGCAUGUGGAUUAAUUCGAAGCAACGCGCAGAACCUUACCUGGGUUUGACAUGCUUGUAUGCCCUCUCUGAAAGGAGUUAGGCUGCCUUCGGGUGAAACUUGCACAGGUGCUGCAUGGCUGUCGUCAGCUCGUGUCGUGAGAUGUCGGGUUAAGUCCUUUAACGAGCGAAACCCUUGCCGUUAGUUGCCAGCGAGUAAUGUCGGGGACUCUAACGGGACUGCCGGUGUUAAACCGGAGGAAGGUGGGGAUGACGUCAAGUCCUCAUGGCCUUUAUGCCCAGGGCUUCACACGUGCUACAAUGGCAAUUACAGAGCGACGCGAUACCGCGAGGUGGAGCAAAUCGCAAAAAAAUUGCCUCAGUUCGGAUUGCAGGCUGGCAAUUCGCCUGCAUGAAGUCGGAAUCGCUAGUAAUCGCGUAUCAGCAAUGACGCGGUGAAUGUGUUCCUGAGCCUUGUACACACCGCCCGUCAAGUGAUGGAAG
rnacentral:rRNA from 1 species